UUCUCUCUCGGCCGGACGAUACCGGAGUCCAGAUCUGAAGUCAGAUCAGCCUAGCCUCUUCUGACAGUAUGGGCAACGGUUGGUGUUUGCUGACCGGCGGGAUCUGCUGUGCUGCUCUUCGACGACGGGGCAGAUCUACUAUCCCCGGCUCUCUACCUCUGGUUCUCUCUCUCCGAAACCCCCAAGGGUUGCAAUAUGUUGGGCUAUUUAUCGCUUUUACUUCUGAAAAGUAGAUUGGAUUAGGCUAGGAGAUCUUGGUCGAUUUCAUCAGGUGAUGAGGGGAAGUCUAGUGCGCUUUGGAUCGGCAGUAAGGUUGAAGUUGGAGUGGUAGCGGAUUCGAUGGAAAGAGACCAAUUUCCCUCAACACAAUGGUUUCACUUCCAAUUCAGUGACCCCAUCAGAGGACAACAACAUAGCAUGGAGCACGGUAGAGAACUAGAGAUACUAGAGACCAGCUCGAGGGAGAGGGUCGAGAUUGAGCAGGUCUCAAAUCUUGAUUUUGAAGUUAUAAAAAAGGCUAUUGCAUCUGACUUCAUUCAUCUGUGGCAAGCUCUAACCAGGCAGAAAUAUGUGGUUCUAUAAAGGAAGUUGAAGCAAUAAUAUUGGAACAAGUACUACUAAAUUACUCAGGAUUUCCAUGUUUUAAAAUUCUAUGGAAUUAAUUCUACCUGAUAUAGAGGGGUUCUACUCCAUAUUGGGUUGCUUGGAGUUGAGUAGUUUUUGGGAGAGAAUGUAAUCCUCAG